rnacentral:tRNA from 1 species
AGGGGCGGUUCAAACAACAAGAGCUGCUAACUCCUGUACCCGAGUCUAAAACCUCGGCCCCCUU